UGUCGAUAUCGUAAAAGUCAAGUAAAUUUGUAUGGAGUUGGAACGUUUUCUUGCGUUUGCCGCUAGGAGCGCUGUUCCAACUUCAUACAAACUUGAGUGAACUUUUACGCUAUCGA
rnacentral:pre_miRNA from 9 species